AACGGCCGUACCAUGCUGAAUAUACCGGUUCUCGUUAGAUCACCGAAGUCAAGCAUCAUUGGGCGCGGUCCACCUGGGUACCGCGUGCCGUUGGGUGGGUGACCACCUGGGAACACUGCGGUGCCG